UUUGUUAGUGUUUCUAUGGUCA
rnacentral:siRNA from 1 species